AAUAGAUACCCGGGUAGUCCACGCCGUAAACGAUGAGUGCUAAGUGUUAGAGGGUUUCCGCCCUUUAGUGCUGCAGCUAACGCAUUAAGCACUCCGCCUGGGGAGUACGGCCGCAAGGCCGAAACUCAAAGGAAUUGACGGGGGCCCGCACAAGCGGUGGAGCAUGUGGUUUAACUCGAAGCAACGCGAAGAACCUUACCAGGUCUUGACAUCCUCUGCCAACCCUAGAGAUAGGGCGUUCCCCUUCGGGGGACAGAGUGACAGGUGGUGCAUGGUUGUCGUCAGCUCGUGUCGUGAGAUGUUGGGUUAAGUCCCGCAACGAGCGCAACCCUUGAUCUUAGUUGCCAGCAUUCAGUUGGGCACUCUAAGGUGACUGCCGGUGACAAACCGGAGGAAGGUGGGGAUGACGUCAAAUCAUCAUGCCCCUUAUGACCUGGGCUACACACGUGCUACAAUGGAUGGUACAAAGAGCUGCGAACCCGCGAGGGUAAGCGAAUCUCAUAAAGCCAUUCUCAGUUCGGA
rnacentral:rRNA from 1 species